CGGCACGAAGUCGUCAGGUCGUUUUAUUUCUUUUGUUUUAUUUGCGUAUUAAAAAAAGAAAAAAAAAUCCUAAUAAAGAGAACAGAGGGGAGGGGGAAAAGUUUUGAAACUCUUCCCAGCUGUUCCAUAUGGUGGGUGAAGGCUGAAUUUCACGCACGAUGUCUGUGUGCCCUGUGGUGAUGCUGCUACUGCAUCUAUCGGCGAGGAUUACCCCAUCUCCCGAUCGCGUUCUUUAAUGCCAAACCAAAAGAUGAGGGAAUUCCCCACGUCAUUCUCCCCGGCCAAAGAGGUCUGCAGGAAAUCUGAAUUUCUCGCAGAGCCUCUGCUUUUAUUCCUUGCUUUUGGUCCUUUUUGGGCACACUCAAAAGCACAUGCAAGCCCUCCCCUAUAUUAACCGGGAGGUGUUAUUUUAUCGGCGCGGUGUGAAAAAUAUCAGGCUUAUAGCACCCAGUUAAUUACUCUCAAAACUCAUGCGUUUUGGGAAGGAACUCGAGGCCAAAUCCCUAUGAGCUGCUCCUCGUGUGCGUAAUCCCGUCUCCUGCAAAAGCCCUAUUGAUGGCGGCCGCCAGCAUCCAGCCCAACGCGGGACGCCGAGGACGGGCGUUCAUCCAGCACGACAAGGGCUGCUGGAAGAGAUCCCCGCCGGGUACAGCUCCAUCUGCCUCCAACACUGCCUGGGCUCCAUGGACAGACACCACUAUCACCUCGCGAGAGGAGCAGAGGAGUUUACCAACAUACCCUAUUACAUCCUGACGCCAUCAGGCUAACUCUGCCAGCUGCUGCAGCACUCCGAACACAUAAGAUUUGCUCCCAUUUCCCUGGUGCACAGUGAUUCUGGGAAGAGGAAAUGGAAGAUCUGCCCAUUGCCAGCAAAGCGGGAUGUGGCUUUGUGAACAUCACUGGUUUGGCCUCGUGCCUCAGUUUCCCCAGUGUGUGCGGAGAGACUUUUGCCUUUCCAGCAGCACCGUAAUAAGCGAAACAAGUAUAAUAAUAACAUUUACCACUAAUAGCUUUUACGACUAAUAAUUUUGCAGUCCUUAAUGGAAGCAUCUCUAUGGUGAUUCUGCAGGAUUAGGGCAUCCCUUUUGCCCCAAGCAGCCCCUAAGGACGAAGCAACGCCAAGAUCCAGCCGAAAGAACAUGACCAAAGUCAGAGUACAGAGUACAGAAGAGCCAGAAAGUGAGCAGAAGUCAGAGGCUAGCAUGGAAACUGCUACACCAUCUGUCCUCUCUGCUUGCUCGAAAGACUCUUCGCAAUUAGGGCAUAACUGAGUAUACGACAUUGUUUUCCUGCACUGUAUUCAAGCUCCAUUCUCACUCGUUAUAAUGAGCUCAUUAUUGAUUUGUGGAGCUUCCCCUUUGAGCUUCUGUGCCUUUCAAAACACGUAGCCAACGUUCAGGCAAUAAAACGGAUACUCAUGGCAUGCUGUAUAUGUGUCGCAGUGCCUGUCGUAUGUUGUGAUACAUGGGAUAGCCAUCUUCUGCCACUAUUUACAGAAUCAGAGGAGAACAAGGAAGCGAUCAGCAUGGCAAAGCCAAUGAGGCUCCUUCUUAGCAUCACGUCGGCAUACUGGAAAUCGGAGUACUGCACCAUCCAAAACUAUUCAUGGAAGUGGGUGAGAAGCAGAAAACAAAAAUCUUAAUUCAUUUGGAUGCUCUUUUGAUGGAUGCAUUUUUGUUCAUUUGUUUGUUUGGUUUUGUUGUUUUUUUAUACCAGUAUGUUUACUUCACUUCUUCUACCCACGGUGACUAGGGACGUGCUUAGUGGGCAUGGUGGGGAUGGGUUGGGGUUGGACACGGUGAGCUUAGAGGUCUUUUCCUACCUUAAUGAUUCCACGAUUCUGAAUUAAAGAUUUAUGUUCCAUUUUGAGGCAGAAUAUUUAAUCAAAAAAUAGAGGAAAAAAAAAGUUGUUUAAGGGAAUUAAAUAACCUGAAAAUAUUGUGUCAGAUUCAAAAUCACAUUUCCAAAUAUUUUAAAAUUAGCUGCAAAUUCUUAAAUAAUAACAAUAAUAAUCUGCUUUCAAUUACAUAUUGCCCAUGUUUAUCCUGACUGUUCUCUGCUUCAGAGACAAGGGAGAACUCAUCUUCCACCCAACACUCAUGCAUGGGAUGUAAGGUUCUCAAGACCCUGGAGAAGGAGUUAGGAUUAAUGCAGUGACACCAGCUGGACAUCUCCCUUCUCUGUCAGCUCAAGAAAAGGAAAGCUGGGAGCCCAGCUCUACAAUAGAUGGCUGGGUUGGAGCUGGAUGUGUUCCCUAAGAAACAUCCUAAAAUCACAGAAUCAUAGAACGGCUUAGGUUGGAAAGGACCUUAAACAUUGAGUUCCAAAAUGAAUCAGCCUGGGGAGAAGUUCAGGCCAAAAGCUUGUUCGUGGGUCUGCAGAGAGAAGGAGAGUCCCAACCAUCAGCCAGGUGACCACAUAGGGAAGUCACUGGGACAGGAUUUCAUGCAGACAGCCCUUUCCAGGUGGGCGAAGUGCUCACAGGGACUCAGCAUUUUAGGGAAAAAAAAGAGAGAGAGGGAGAGCGAUGGGAUUAGAGGACAGCGACUGCAGAGAGGAAAGGCAAGCAUAAGAAUUGCUUUCACCGCAAUGCCAAACAAUUAAAGUACAAACUGACAUUUGAUGGAUUUACAAAUGUUCCUUUGGGAUGACCACUUGAAAGCAUUUGAUCCAUGCUGUGAUAUUUUUAUUGGCUUUAAUAAGUUUGGAAUCCAGCCUCUCCUUCCCUCUCCCAAACCACAAACACGAACAAAUUGGGUCUCAGAUGAGGACAUAUCAGUGCCACUUCCCCAACCACAGUCACCAUAGGCGCUGAGAUGCCGAUAGCAUGGCUGUGUUCUACUUUCACCACAGGGAAAUGGGUGAUGUUAGAGCAAAAAAGGAAGAAGAAAAUAUUUCAAUGAUAGAAGAUUUUGGAAGCUGUUAGUUCAUAUAGCCCAAAUGAUCCUAUACGCUGGGGUUGGUGUUAAUGCAUGAGGAUGACUGUGCUCGGGAUCCCUCAGCUUUCUCAGGGGAUGUGAUGCUUGCUAUGGGAAUGAGUGCUUUGCUCUCUUGACCUGCCUCAGCCGUGCAGCCACAUGAGUUUUUACACAUCCCUCGGUUAAAUCUGAACAAAAUUUAGCACUCUGGGACAUACUGCAGAGGCAUCCAUGUGCCCAUUUCUCUGUGGCUUUGUAAACCACAGAAACUGUGGUUCAUCGGGGACAAUGCAGGUGUCAUGUGAAAUUCCUCCUCUGGGAGAUGCUGGCAGUGUUUUUCCCUUGCAUUUUCAAGAAGUAAGAAAGAGUUACAAUGCCAGAGUGGUCCUCCCACAGCCUCUUUUCUUGAGGUUAACUCAUAGGACAUCUCCUCCCUUACAGCCCUGUAGCAUUCAGGAACAGUAUGAAUUCACUCAUUAGCACUGGCAAGGUGUUCAUAGAGUCACAGCAUCGUUAAGGUUGAAAAAGACCUCUAAGACCCCCAGGUCCAACCCCAACCCAUCCCCCCCAUGCCCACUGACUACGUCCCUCAGAGCCACUUCUACACAACCAGUUUCAUCCAACAUGGAGUUCUCUCAUCAGCUCACUCACGAAUACUCAAUUAUUGACCACCCCUGUUUUUCACAUCCUUGUCAACAUUUGCAUAGGUUUCCCUUUCCCAUUCAAGCCUCCUUAUUCCUUCCAGUUUCUGAAUCACACACAGCUUUGACAAUUUGGCCACCUUGGAACCAGAAACGUGCAUGCUCCCAAGGCAGGGUGCUGCAAGGGAAGGACUGUGUGGGAAUAUAAGAAGCCCCAUAUCCCUGCAAUAUAUUUUUCUUAAAACAAAGCCCACUUGGGCUGCCAAUUUAGCUCAUCUCCAUGAGAAAAAGCCCACACACCCACCAGCAGUGAAUGGACAUGGAUUGGUGAUCUUUGCACAUGUCAAAGAUCUGAAGGGUCAAUAGUUGUGUUUCAUUGAUAAUGGUUGGUACAUCUCUCACUGGAGAGCUGUUCCGAAUGGCAAAGCAUGGCUAUUUGUAUUAUCUCUUUCUUUUGUUGUUGUUGCUGUUGUUCUGUUUUUGAGUGAGCUUUGUCUAACUCCUGUAACAAUCCAUGCACAUAGGCUGAAACUGAAACGGUGCAACAGGAUAUCAGGGAAACAACAAAUUUCACUGAAAAACAUAUACUCCAGUCUAAAAAAAAGAAAAAACUAUAGGAAAGGAACUGGCCUUCUUCCUUUUGUUCUGCUCCUUUAGUUUAAAAACAGGGUAAGUUGAGGGGAGAUGGGCAAUUAUACCACUACACUGUAGUUUACAUUUCUUAACAGUGCAUAUGUAAAAAUUGUUGGAAUGUUGCAUUUCAAUGCAAUAUUUAAAUUGCUGCCGUAGCCCAUGAAUGCCCUACUACACAGAGGGGAGAAAAGGCUGCAGCUCAGUGGGAAUUUCUCAUCAGAUAGUAAAGGUGCUUGUAUGGGCUGAAUAGAUUAAAUCACAGCCAUUGCCCUAAACAUGGAGCUAUAGAGACCCCCUUAUCGCUGCUCCUCCUUCCUGCCCUGCCCUUUCUUCCCCAUGUUCCCCCCAGCAUGCUGCUGGAGGAGGAAGCAUCAGGCUGCACCCCUCGGAUGGACACCAGCUCCUAAAACAAUCCCUGCCCAUUGUAUCUGUUAUCUCCCUUGCAUUUGUUAUCUCAUAUGCUCCUGGGCUGCAUUGUCCCAUAGGAAGGGGACCUGGGGGCUAUUUUCCAGCUCUCAUUGCAGCACAGAAUCCUGCACAGGUACAUAGGGAUGUGCUUGGAGUGGGCAAGGUGAGAUCCUCAGGAAGAACCCAGCUCACAGGUGGGUCACCAGCACACACUCAUUUUGGGGCCCUUUGGGUUCAGGGAGCUCAGGGCUGAGGAAUGACUGAAAAAUACACCUGAAAAGGCGUUUCUUUGCCCACGGGGAGGACUUCAUCACUGUGUUUCUCAGUGAGUGCACACAAAAUCAUUCUUUUACCCAGCAACCUGACGGUAUUGAAUUCACCUGCACCACCAGUAUGAAAGUAAACACAUCAAGGGGAAACCUGGGUGUUUCUGCUACAAGUUCUUAUAGGGAACGUAAAGAAGCAAAAAGGACAGACUUCAGGGAGGAAUAAGCGGGCAGCCAACCCCUGUUAUCUCCACAUGAUAAAGCAAAAUAUGCAGGAGUGCUCCCAUCUGAAAUCCCUUCUCCGGCUGUGGGUGAGGAGCAGCGGUACUCCAGGAUGGGGAGGAGGAGGUGGGCACAGAGCCAUCCCAGGGGGCCACGUCCUCCCGUCCCAUUAAGCCCGCGGGCAGCUCAGGCUGCGGGAGCAGGCGGGGAGGGAGAUGAAAGGCUCCUGGAAGGAAUCAGGUGCAGGGGGUGGGCAGAUGCUGCUAAAGAGCAAAGGGAUGCGGCCAGGCUCAUUUGUCUGGAAGGGAACCAGCAGGAACUUUCUUUUUAUCUCCAAUUGCGGAUGUUAGGGCCGUUCCUAAAGGCCACAGCCAGUUGGGACCCCACCACUUUCCAUCCAUAAUGGGGAGGGAAACUGCAAUGCAUUUUUUCCCACACCCAUGAUGGGACCCAGCCGGGCUCUGCCUCCCCCAGCCCAAACUGUGCUCCGUCCGUCUGUCCCACAAUGAGUUGAACACAUCCCCACGUUCCUGGCCCUCUCCUCCUGCCCUGCCUGGGGAUUAGCCACGCUCCACCUCAUCUGAGUGCGACUUAGCAGGGCAACCCUUUGCCAGGCAGGCGGAGCAGGGCAUGGCCCCGUCUGUCUGUCCGUCUGUCUGUCCGUCCAUCCGUCUGUCCGUCUGUCUGCCCGGGGAUUAGCUCAACCCCACCUGGGCUGCCUCUGGCUCCUCUCACCGGGAUCUCCUGGACCAUGUGUGCCUCUAGUCUGCAUCGGCUGGCAGGUGGCAGCUGUCUGUCCGUCUGUCUGUCUGGGGGAGACGGACGGGUGCUGCUAUGCCCAUCCCACCACUAUGCCUGUUUGACUGGGAGAGAUGGACAGACACAAGUGCCCAUCCUAUCACCACGCCUGUCUGUCCAGGAGGGGAAGCCAUACGCCUCCACGUCCAUCUGUCUGACCGUGCCUUAUACUGCCAUGCCUAUCCAUAAGGAGAUAUUCAGCACAGCCCUGUCUGUUUGCCUGUCUGUACCAUACACUGCCAUGCCUAUCAAUGAGAGGACACUGGGCACAGCCCUGUCCGACUGCCCAUCCAUAAGGGCAACUACCCACUGCCAUGCCUGUGAGGGCUGCUGGGCACAGCCUUGUCCUCUGCCUGGCACUAAGGUCUGGUGUAGGCAGCCCUGGGCACCAGCACAGUCCCCCCUCCCAGCCCCAGGCACAGAUUAAACCUGAGAUUAGGGCCGGGGACUGCUUGGGCACUGCAAACAGCACAGAGCUUACAUUGUACACCCGAUGUCACAACGGGCAGGGACAUAAAUAUCAAUAAAAUACACCUAAAAAAGCCUAUUUUCACCCAUACGAUGAGGCAGAGCUGGACUCCUCCUCCACCCUGGCCAUGCUGGAAACCCACCUCUUACCCCAAAAAACUCAGCGUGAACCCCCUGGGCUGCUGGAUGGGACAUUCGAUGCUGGGGGUGCUCAAUGCAGGACAAAGCUUCUCAGGGAAGGUGCCUGCGGGGAUGGUGCUGGUGGGAGACCAGGGAGAUUCCCUGCUGUUUGAGAGAAGGGAAUUGACCAUUAGGGCUUUUUUCUUUUUCUUUUUUUUUUCCCCACUUUUCCUUUCUUUUUCUUUUUUUUUUUCCCUUUAUUUCUUUCCCCCUUUCCCCAUUUUUUCUUUGCCUUUGCCUCUUUUCUCUCCUUUUAAAAUUCUUCUUUAUUCCUUUUUUAUAUUUUUUCUUUUUCCCUUUUUUUACCCCUUUUUCUUUUUUCUUUCUUCUUUUUCUUUUUUUCUCCUUUUCCCAUUCUUAUUUUUUUCCUCUUUUUUUCUUUUUCUUUUUUACUUUCUUCUUUUUCUUUUUCCCUUUUCCCCUUUUUCUGUUUUAUUCUUUUUCUUUUUUUCCAUUUUCCCUUUUCCCAUUUUUCCCCUUUUUCUCCCCUUUUCCCUUUUCCCCCUUUUUUCCCUUUUCCCCCUUUUUUUCCUUUUUCCCCCUAUUUCUUUUCUUUUCUUUUCUUUUCUUUUCUUUUCUUUUCUUUUCUUUUCUUUUCUUUUCUUUUCUUUUCUUUUCUUUUCUUUUCUUUUCUUUUCUUUUCUUUUCUUUUCUU
ensembl:lncRNA